GUGUCAGGAGGUUGGUCGUGCCACCGGUACGUACUGGUCUCACUGAUUCCUCCUUCCUGAACAACCGUAAUGCCAUUAAUUUGGUGUUGCGGGGAAACAGGACUGUUACUUUGAAAAAAUUAGAGUGUUUAAAGCAAGCUAACGCUUGAAUACAUUAGCAUGGAAUAAUGAAAUAGGACGAUCGAUCCUAUUUUGUUGGUUUCUAGGAUUGACGUA
rnacentral:rRNA from 1 species